CCUUUAUAUCCCAUAUCUUACAAAGGACUUAAUGUCACACUGCUCUCAGGCAGUAUGACCUCCUGACAAACACGGUGACAUCCUAUUUUUUCUAUCCUUGCUCAUCAACCCUUACCACCCAGACCCACACCGCCUUCUGCUACCCAUCUGUCUCCUCUGCCCCUGAUAACCAAUCCCACCCGCUGCAGCAGAGGGAAACACAAGCCACGCCACCACCUAGCUGUCCUUCCUCCUGUUCUCUCAUCAGCGCCCCCCAACCACCACCAUCUGAAUCACGUGUCUGAAGGUGAACAGCAGCAGUCGAUCCAGCCAUGAAGCCCUUGAUGCACAUCUCAUUUUAUAUUCCUCCUAUACAGUAAACAAUUUCAGACUCUGUAAGGCAAAAAGCUGCAACAGUGAAGGGAUGAAAAGGAACCGCGUGCAAGACGAGGAGGCGGAGUCAGAGAGUGAAAAUCCUUUUCUGAAGGGAUGCUUGCUAAAAUUAGAAAUAUCUAUAAAUGUCUUCCUUGUGUUCUUGACACAUGUUAAAGCUUUUUUUUCUCUAUACAGCAUCAGUGCUGUCCCUUUUGUGCGUGGCUCCUGGUUCCAGCCUAUCACAGCUCUUUGCAGGGAAUUUCCACGGCACAAGCCCCGCCCCUGCUUUGACGCAGAAAGCGGCGUCACAAGCGAUGCCCCCUGCGGCCUUGUGGAAGGACAGCCGCUGCACAGUGCGCCAAGAGGACAUUCUUGAAGGAAAGAGGAAAGAAGCGUGAAGGAAAAAUGGAAAUCUGGUCAUUUAAUGGUAGGAUUUCUAGAACCUCUAUCCAUCUAUUCUCCCCAGCGUUCAGGGUCACCUCAGCAUCCUUCACAGAUCUUUGCUAUUUGCUCUUCUAAUUACUGGCUUCCAUAAUGCCAACCCCUGGAGGAACACACUGUGCCCCAAAGGAUAACUUAUUCCCCUUCACACCACAUACAGCCACAACCAAACGUCCCCACAUCAGUACAUAGUGCGUAAGCACUUUCUGUUCCCUCGUCUCUUUUUGACGCAGUGACCGCAAAAGCAGCACAUUUUAGUAGGGAAAGAGGCUCACACGGACCCAUAAAUCCUCUCCCGCCGCCUUGAAGAUCCGUCUGCAGCGUCACGCCGCCGCAUCAUUCAUCCCCGCGUGCCGCUGCAUCAGAUUAAAAAUUACAACCAGCAUCACCAAAUGGUGAUGAAGCAAAAAAAA